UACCCCAUCAGGUUAACUCAAAAGGAUGGAU
rnacentral:piRNA from 1 species